rnacentral:lncRNA from 13 species
AUGAUUCUGCCAAGAGGAAAAAGUCAUUUGCUCUUCUUUUCAGAGUCUGGUCAUUGUGGGGAAGAAUGGGGAAAAAAAAUCCAUCUGAAGGCCAAAACUUUCUUUUGUGCCAGCACAAGAAAGAAAGUAACUUUUGGAUUUAAGGCUUGGCAGCCAACCAAGCUCCAGAGAACAACGGAAGCUGCCCAGCACCAGGCACGAGGGGCAGGCAGGUACAGGGAGAAGACCUGGAAAAAAUUGCCAGACCAACUCAAAAUCACAAAGUUUCCAGAGCUUAUAUACCUUCUAAGCCAUGUGUCUAUGUUUCUCUGUCCUGUUCCCAUGCGGAGAAGAUCCUUGCAUCCCAUUCUGCCAUGAUUGUAUGUUUCCUGAGGCUUCCCCAGCCAUGUGGAACUAUCCCCAGAAUGGAGCCCAGACAGAGGAGCAGGGAGACAUCGGAUUUGUUGCUGCUCUCAGCCUCCUCUCAGCAUCCUUGUCUACAUGCAGGGGUUCUGCCAAGCUGAGCUGAACCAGAGACCCACUUGGGAGAGACCCAGGAGCUGAGAAGCACUGGCCAGUGGUAUUAGCCCUUCCAGUGGCCCCUCCAAACUCAUGGCCCCAGGAGUGGAGAAGUCCUGCUUGAUGCUCUCGGGUGUCAGCUCCUGAAGGUUCUCAGGGGAGGAAUGCCUAGGAGUGCUGAUCAGGAAGUCUGUGAACUCUCUCCAGACCAUGCAGGGAAAGGGAGGUGCCCCAGGUUUGCUUUUUCUGCCCUUCCUUACUGGUCCUACCUUUGUAUUCACAUCAGAAACACAGUUGCAUUAUGAUGUCUUCGGCUUCCCUGCACAUCUCAGCCCUGCCUCAAGAAAGGGUGAAAGCAUCAUUCUUACUGAAGUAGAGAUGCCAAGGCUGUCUAGAGAUGGGAUGAAUGGAGGGAGGGGAGGGGG